GACGAACGCUGGCGGCGUGCCUAAUACAUGCAAGUCGAACGCUUCUUUCCUCCCCAGUGCUUGCACUCAAUUGGAAAGAGGAGUGGCGGACGGGUGAGUAACACGUGGGUAACCUACCCAUCAGAGGGGGAUAACACUUGGAAACAGGUGCUAAUACCUCAUAACAGUUUAUGCCGCAUGGCAUAAGAGUGAAAGGCGCUUUCGUGUGUCGCUGCUGGAUGGACCCGCGGUGCAUUAGCUAGUUGGUGAGGUAACGGCUCACCAAGGCCACGAUGCAUAGCCGACCUGAGAGGGUGAUCGGCCACACUGGGACUGAGACACGGCCCAGACUCCUACGGGAGGCAGCAGUAGGGAAUCUUCGGCGAUGGACGAAAGUGUGACCGAGCAACGCCGCGUGAGUGAAGAAGGUGUUCGGAUCGUAAAACUCUGUUGUUAGAGAAGAACAAGGACGUUAGUAACUGAACGUCCCCUGACGGUAUCUAACCAGAAAGCCACGGCUAACUACGUG
rnacentral:rRNA from 1 species